rnacentral:tRNA from 1 species
AUUAAGAUGGCAGAAAAAGUGCAUUAGGUUUAAGCCCUAAAUAUGAAGAAUUUAAUUCUCUUCUCUUAAUA